rnacentral:sRNA from 1 species
AGAUGGAGCUGGGGUUACAGAGGAUCAGGUUGGGUCUGCUAGGCCGGUGUGCUAAACAUAGGAAGAAAGUCCAGAAAUAAGAAUGUCUAAGCCUCUGGAGGCCGAGAAGCAAGGUCUGGACUCCCCAUCAGAGCACACAGACACCGAAAGAAAUGGACCAGACACUAAUCAUCAGAACCCCCAAAAUAAGACCUCCCCAUUCUCCGUGUCCCCAACUGGCCCCAGUACAAAGAUCAAGGCUGAAGACCCCAGUGGUGAUUCAGCCCCAGCAGCACCCCUGCCCCCUCAGCCGGCCCAGCCUCAUCUGCCCCAGGCCCAACUCAUGUUGACGGGCAGCCAGCUAGCUGGGGACAUACAGCAGCUCCUCCAGCUCCAGCAGCUGGUGCUUGUGCCAGGCCACCACCUCCAGCCACCUGCUCAGUUCCUGCUACCGCAGGCCCAGCAGAGCCAGCCAGG